UACGUAGGGGGCGAGCGUUGUCCGGAAUCAUUGGGCGUAAAGCGCGUGUAGGCGGUCCGAUAAGUUCGCUGUGAAAGUCGGGGGCUUAACCCUCGGAUGCCGGUGAAUACUGUCGGGCUUGAGCACGGAAGAGGCGAGUGGAAUUCCUGGUGUAGCGGUGAAAUGCGCAGAUAUCAGGAGGAACACCAAUGGCGAAGGCAGAUCUCUGGGCCGUAACUGACGCUGAGGAGCGAAAGCAUGGGGAGCGAACAGG
rnacentral:rRNA from 1 species